GACGAACGCUGGCGGCGUGCCUAAUACAUGCAAGUUGAGCGCUGAAGGUUGGUACUUGUACCAACUGGAUGAGCAGCGAACGGGUGAGUAACGCGUGGGGAAUCUGCCUUUGAGCGGGGGACAACAUUUGGAAACGAAUGCUAAUACCGCAUAAAAACUUUAAACACAAGUUUUAAGUUUGAAAGAUGCAAUUGCAUCACUCAAAGAUGAUCCCGCGUUGUAUUAGCUAGUUGGUGAGGUAAAGGCUCACCAAGGCGAUGAUACAUAGCCGACCUGAGAGGGUGAUCGGCCACAAUGGGACUGAGAAACGGCCCAAACUCCUACGGGAGGCAGCAGUAGGGAAUCUUCGGCAAUGGACGAAAGUCUGACCGAGCAACGCCGCGUGAGUGAAGAAGGGUUUCGGAUCGUAAAACUCUGUUGGUAGAGAAGAACGUUGGUGAGAGUGGAAAGCUCAUCAAGUGACGGUAACUACCCAGAAAGGGACGGCUAACUACGUG
rnacentral:rRNA from 1 species